rnacentral:lncRNA from 1 species
ACUGUGCUCUACGAAGGCCCUGUCCGUGGGCUCUGCCCCUUUGCCCCGCGAAAUUCCAACACCAUGGCGGCGGCUGCCCUGGCUGCCCCCAGCCUGGGCUUCGAUGGGGUGAUUGGGGUGCUCGUGGCUGAUACCAGGUGAGCAGAGCUAAGCAGGGUGUUGGGCUGAGUCCAGGCUCUCCAGACUGACUGCCCCUCUUGUCCCAGCCUCACGGACAUGCACGUGGUGGAUGUAGAGCUGAGCGGACCCCGGGGCCCCACGGGCCGAAGCUUUGCUGUGCACACCCGCAGAGAGAACCCUGCCGAGCCAGGCGCGGUCACCGGCUCCGCCACCGUCACGGCCUUCUGGCAGAGCCUCCUGGCCUGCUGCCAGCUCCCCUCCAGGCCGGGGAUCCAUCUCUGCUGAGAAGCCUCCUCCCUCCCGAGACAAGAUCAUCUGCCUGGCCUCUCACCACCACCAUCCCACCCCUGCCCUGCCCCACUUCCCCAGGGUCUCCCUUCUGACUCAGUAAAGAUCACCGCUGCCUCCCCC